UCGGGAAUUUUGGGCAAUGGGCGAAAGCCUGACCCAGCAACGCCGCGUGAAGGAUGAAAUCCCUCGGGAUGUAAACUUCGCAAGAACGGGAAGAAUAAGUUUGUGCUAAUACCACAAGCGAUGACGGUACUGUUUGUAAGCUCCGGCUAACUCCGUGCCAGCAGCCGCGGUAAUACGGGGGGAGCAAGCGUUGUUCGGAUUUACUGGGCGUAAAGGGCGCGUAGGCGGCCUCCGCAAGUCAGUUGUGAAGUCUCCGAGCUUAACUCGGAAAGGUCAACUGAUACUGCGGGGCUAGAGUGCGGAAGGGGCAACUGGAAUUCUUGGUGUAGCGGUGAAAUGCGUAGAUAUCAAGAGGAACACCUGCGGCGAAGGCGGGUUGCAGGGCCGACACUGACGCUGAGGCGCGAAAGCUAGGGGAGCGAACGGGAUUAGAUACCCCGGUAGUCCUAGCCUUAAACGAUGAAUGCUUGGUGUCUGGGGUUAUAUAGUCCCCGGGUGCCGUCGCUAACGCUUUAAG
rnacentral:rRNA from 1 species